GCAUCUAGAUUAGAGUUUGAUCCUGGCUCAGAUUGAACGCUGGCGGCAGGCCUAACACAUGCAAGUCGAACGGUAACAGGAAACAGCUUGCUGUUUCGCUGACGAGUGGCGGACGGGUGAGUAAUGUCUGGGAAACUGCCUGAUGGAGGGGGAUAACUACUGGAAACGGUAGCUAAUACCGCAUAACGUCGCAAGACCAAAGAGGGGGACCUUCGGGCCUCUUGCCAUCAGAUGUGCCCAGAUGGGAUUAGCUAGUAGGUGGGGUAACGGCUCACCUAGGCGACGAUCCCUAGCUGGUCUGAGAGGAUGACCAGCCACACUGGAACUGAGACACGGUCCAGACUCCUACGGGAGGCCGCAGUGGGGAAUAUUGCACAAUGGGCGCAAGCCUGAUGCAGCCAUGCCGCGUGUAUGAAGAAGGCCUUCGGGUUGUAAAGUACUUUCAGCGGGGAGGAAGGGAGUAAAGUUAAUACCUUUGCUCAUUGACGUUACCCGCAGAAGAAGCACCGGCUAACUCCGUGCCAGCAGCCGCGGUAAUACGGAGGGUGCAAGCGUUAAUCGGAAUUACUGGGCGUAAAGCGCACGCAGGCGGUUUGUUAAGUCAGAUGUGAAAUCCCCGGGCUCAACCUGGGAACUGCAUCUGAUACUGGCAAGCUUGAGUCUCGUAGAGGGGGGUAGAAUUCCAGGUGUAGCGGUGAAAUGCGUAGAGAUCUGGAGGAAUACCGGUGGCGAAGGCGGCCCCCUGGACGAAGACUGACGCUCAGGUGCGAAAGCGUGGGGAGCAAACAGGAUUAGAUACCCUGGUAGUCCACGCCGUAAACGAUGUCGACUUGGAGGUUGUGCCCUUGAGGCGUGGCUUCCGGAGCUAACGCGUUAAGUCGACCGCCUGGGGAGUACGGCCGCAAGGUUAAAGCUCAAAUGAAUUGACGGGGGCCCGCACAAGCGGUGGAGCAUGUGGUUUAAUUCGAUGCAACGCGAAGAACCUUACCUGGUCUUGACAUCCACGGAAGUUUUCAGAGAUGAGAAUGUGCCUUCGGGAACCGUGAGACAGGUGCUGCAUGGCUGUCGUCAGCUCGUGUUGUGAAAUGUUGGGUUAAGUCCCGCAACGAGCGCAACCCUUAUCCUUUGUUGCCAGCGGUCCGGCCGGGAACUCAAAGGAGACUGCCAGUGAUAAACUGGAGGAAGGUGGGGAUGACGUCAAGUCAUCAUGGCCCUUACGACCAGGGCUACACACGUGCUACAAUGGCGCAUACAAAGAGAAGCGACCUCGCGAGAGCAAGCGGACCUCAUAAAGUGCGUCGUAGUCCGGAUUGGAGUCUGCAACUCGACUCCAUGAAGUCGGAAUCGCUAGUAAUCGUGGAUCAGAAUGCCACGGUGAAUACGUUCCCGGGCCUUGUACACACCGCCCGUCACACCAUGGGAGUGGGUUGCAAAAGAAGUAGGUAGCUUAACCUUCGGGAGGGCGCUUACCACUUUGUGAUUCAUGACUGGGGUGAAGUCGUAACAAGGUAACCGUAGGGGAACCUGCGGAUGGAUCACCUCCUUA
rnacentral:rRNA from 1 species